GUAGUGGGGGAUAGCCCGGCGAAAGCCGGAUUAAUACCGCAUACGCUCUACGGAGGAAAGGGGGGGAUCUUAGGACCUCCCGCUACAGGGGCGGCCGAUGGCAGAUUAGCUAGUUGGUGGGGUAAAGGCCUACCAAGGCGACGAUCUGUAGCUGGUCUGAGAGGACGACCACCCACACUGGGACUGAGACACGGCCCAGACUCCUACGGGAGGCAGCAGUGGGGAAUUUUGGACAAUGGGGGCAACCCUGAUCCAGCAAUGCCGCGUGUGUGAAGAAGGCCUUCGGGUUGUAAAGCACUUUUGUCCGGAAAGAAAACGCCGUGGUUAAUACCCGUGGCGGAUGACGGUACCGGAAGAAUAAGCACCGGCUAACUACGUGCCAGCAGCCGCGGUAAUACGUAUGGUGCAAGCGUUAAUCGGAAUUACUGGGCGUAAAGCGUGCGCAGGCGGUCCGCUAAGACAGAUGUGAAAUCCCCGGGCUUAACCUGGGAACUGCAUUUGUGACUGGCGGGCUAGAGUAUGGCAGAGGGGGGUAGAAUUCCACGUGUAGCAGUGAAAUGCGUAGAGAUGUGGAGGAAUACCGAUGGCGAAAGCAGCCCCCUGGGCCAAUACUGACGCUCAUGCACGAAAGCGUGGGGGAGCAAACAGGAUUAGAUACCCUGGUAGUCCACGCCCUAAACGAUGUCAACUAGUUUGUCGGGUCUUCAUUGACUUGGUAACGUAACUUAACGCGUGAAGUUGACCGCCUGGGGAGUACGGUCGCAGAUUAAAACUCAAAGGAAUUGACGGGGACCCGCACUA
rnacentral:rRNA from 1 species